GACGAACGCUGGCGGCGUGCUUAACACAUGCGAGUCGAACGGAAAGGCCCUGCUUUUGUGGGGUGCUCGAGUGGCGAACGGGUGAGUAACACGUGAGUAACCUGCCCUUGACUUUGGGAUAACUUCAGGAAACUGGGGCUAAUACCGGAUAGGAGCUCCUGCUGCAUGGUGGGGGUUGGAAAGUUUCGGCGGUUGGGGAUGGACUCGCGGCUUAUCAGCUUGUUGGUGGGGUAGUGGCUUACCAAGGCUUUGACGGGUAGCCGGCCUGGGAAGGUGACCGGCCUCAUAGUGACAGAGAUACGGCCCAGACUCCUACGGGAGGCAACAGUGGGGAAUAUUGCACAAUGGGCGGAAGCCUGAUGCAGCAACGCCGCGUGCUGGAUGACAGCCUUCGGGUUGUAAACCGCUUUCGCCUGUGACGAAGCGUGAGUGACGGUAAUGGGUAGAGAAGCACCGGCUAACUACGUG
rnacentral:rRNA from 1 species